rnacentral:rRNA from 1 species
AACGAACGCUGGCGGCAUGCCUAACACAUGCAAGUCGAACGAGACCUUCGGGUCUAGUGGCGCACGGGUGCGUAACGCGUGGGAACCUGCCCUUAGGUUCGGAAUAACUCUCCGAAAGGGGUGCUAAUACCGGAUAAUGUCUUCGGACCAAAGAUUUAUCGCCUUUGGAUGGGCCCGCGUUGGAUUAGCUAGUUGGUAGGGUAAAAGCCUACCAAGGCGACGAUCCAUAGCUGGUCUGAGAGGAUGAUCAGCCACACUGGGACUGAGACACGGCCCAGACUCCUACGGGAGGCAACAGUGGGGAAUAUUGGACAAUGGGCGAAAGGCUGAUCCAGCAAUGCCGCGUGAGUUAUGAAGGCCUUAGGGUUGUAAAGCUCUUUUACCCGGGAUGAUAAUGACAGUACCGGGAGAAUAAGCCCCGGCUAACUCCGUG